rnacentral:misc_RNA from 1 species
CAACCCUCAAGCCUGGCUUGGUGAUGGGGCACUGCCUUUGAGAAAAGGGCAGGCCCUGAAAUUCAGUGGCGAGCUCGCCAGGACCCCGAGCGCAGUAGUUAAACCCUCGCUUUGGAAGGUCUUGGUGCGGCCCUGCCGUUAAACCCCCAACUUCUGAAA